rnacentral:rRNA from 1 species
UGGGAAUUUUGGACGAAUUGGGCGAAAGCCUGAUCCAGCAAUGCCGCGUGUGUGAAGAAGGCCUUCGGGUUGUAAAGCACUUUUGUCCGGAAAGAAAUCCUUGGCUCUAAUACAGUCGGGGGAUGACGGUACCGGAAGAAUAAGCACCGGCUAACUACGUGCCAGCAGCCGCGGUAAUACGUAGGGUGCAAGCGUUAAUCGGAAUUACUGGGCGUAAAGCGUGCGCAGGCGGUUUGCUAAGACCGAUGUGAAAUCCCCGGGCUCAACCUGGGAACUGCAUUGGUGACUGGCAGGCUAGAGUAUGGCAGAGGGGGGUGAGAAUUCCACGUGUAGCAGUGAAAUGCGUAGAGAUGUGGAGGAAUACCGAUGGCGAAGGCAGCCCCCUGGCCAAGUACUGACGCUCAUGCACGAAAAGCGU